rnacentral:tRNA from 1 species
GCCCCCGUAGCUCAAUUGGACAGAGCGUCGGACUUCGAAUCCGCAGGCUGUGCGUUCGAAUCGCACCGGGGGCG